rnacentral:sRNA from 1 species
GCUGCGGCAAGAUCCGCAGCCGGAGUUAGCGUUCCGAACACUUACACAAGGCAGCAUUAUGUAUAU